rnacentral:lncRNA from 1 species
AGUCAAAUAAAGAAAAAAGCAUACAAAGACACAUCUAAUGAAAUGUUUGGUCUUGAGUACAAGUCAAAGCAGAGUCUCAAUUUGAACACUGGGACAUAGUAAAUCAAAAAAAGAACAUGACAUAUUUCUUCUGAUAAACUGACAAUUUCAUUAGAAUGUAAAACAUGCUGUAGUUUUCCAGGAUGAUCUCAAGUGAAAAUGGUGCAAGACUUAAAUAUAAGCAUUGUCAACUGAGUUACAAUUUACAAAAUAAUUACUAUAAAUAAUUUAAAUUCUUAUUAUUUAUGCAGUAAUAAUACAAAUAUGCUAUAUAACUGUAUCAAAGACCUUUAAGCCAAAUGAAAUGUAAAUAACAGAAAAAGCAUAAUUAAAUAAAAUAACUUGUUUGUAAAUGUUCCAAUGCUACUAAGCCUCAAUGCUUGCAGUGAUUGCAAUUUUCAAGAAAAGGGUCUCCUAUAUGAGCAUAUAUCAAAGGCUUGCUUUCAAUCUAAGAAAAUUAUGGUUAAAACUAUAUACUGUCCUUGAGUGAAUACUAUGAAAGGAAAGGCAUUUCAGUUGAGGUUUGAUUGAGAGUACAAAACUCCUUCGGUUACAUUAUAAUGAGCCCCUGAAACUGUAAGGCUCAGUCAGUCCAACAUUUCAGAAUCUCAUUUGCUACAUAUUUCACACAAUCAAUCUCUUCAUCAAACAGUACGCUUUAAAAGCGAAAUAAAAUUCUUAACAUCGCAGAGAUCAGUACUACAACAGAAACAUGUAUAUAUUUAUACAACAUAUUCCAUAUGCAAAGGCUCUAAAAUAGUGUUGUAUUUAAAGCUGCCAUGUUCAUCUCUCAGCACUGUCAAAACGUAAUUAACACUGACCUAAAAUGAAAGCAUUGUAUUACCAAACAAAAAGAAGUCAAAUAUUAUAAUACUAAAAAGUUUCAUAAUGGCUAAAGGUUCAAAUCUUAUGAACUAUUUUAUCUUUUAACUAAACACACUGAUUCACAACAGCAUCCUCAUUAAAUAUGAUAAGAUUAAAAAGAACAAGAUAGCAGAUAAUCACAUAACAGACAACUUCAUUAGUCCUCUAACAUCUAAACAGUAACAAUCUAUACAGUGCAACUCCUUGGUAUUUGUUUCCGGUUUCAUUUUUAAAAUAAUGGCUACAUUUUGAAUCCAUUAACAAAGAAAGUUACAAUGUGUGACUGCAUUAGGAAAGUUAUCAACACCUGCGUUCAUGUACAUGCACAGUCAGCCCACAUUUUAAAAAUUAAAAGUUUUGUAAUGGAAUAUCUGCGUUAGAUACUGUUUAAAAAAAAAGGGUCGGUUAAAAGAGCCCUACUAAUGGCACCUUGCUAUUGUAGUGAAUUGACAUCAUGACAAAUUUUAUAUUAGCAUUUAAAAAAAAGUUGCAUACUAAUGAACAUGCUAAUGUCAUCUGAUCUCAAAAAAAAGGUCUAUAAAAAGCACUUUUCUCAAGGGCUUUUAGUGAGUUGAUUGUUAUAAGACAACAAAGUCUAUAAAGAUCUGCAGCCUUGAUAGGACAGCCCUUUAGGACCAAAAUCUGGCAACACAUUUCAAGGUAAACAGAAUCAGUAAAGUAUGUCACCAUGUUUGUAUGUCAAAUAACAAUAAAUGCAAUAAAACUAAAUUGCACAUGUACAACAAGGUCCACAAGUCUGAGACCACUAAUGAAAAUGCAGUGUUUGUAGUGUUUUGUAGUAUUUAAUUUAGUACAAAAUGUAUUACAAAUUAUAUAAUAUCAACAUAAAAAUUUGUGUGAAAAUUUCAAUCACAAAUGAAAAUAAAUUUUUUAGAAUUUCUUAGUAUUUGUUUCGUAAACCGAUCCAGCACUCAAGCCAGGGUUAUAAUAGUUAACUAAAAUCAUAAAGAAAAUCUUUGUUAAUCUAAAUCCUUGAAAUAAAAUAAAACAGAAAGGUAUUUAUUUCAGUUAGUUGCCAAAGCAACAUUUCUCAUUUUCCAUUUAUUUAAACUUAGUUUAAUAAUAAAAAAAUCUAAAACUGAAAAUUUACUAAAAAAUUAUAUGUGGACCACAAUACCAGUCAUUAUAGUCAGUUUCUCAAAACUGAGAUUUAUACACCAUCUGAAAGCUGAAUAAAUAAGCUUUCCAUUGAUAUAUGGUUUAAUAUUUGGCAGAGAUGCAACUAUUUGAAAAUCUGGAAUCAAAGGGUGCAAAAAAAUCAAAAUACUGAGAAAAUAACCUUUAAAUUUUUCCAAAUGAAGUUCUUAGCAAUUCAUAUUACUAAUCAAAAAUUAGGUUUUGAUAUAUUUACGGUAGGAAAUGUAUAAAUAUCUUCAUGGACAUGAUCUUUACUUAAUAUCCUAAUGAUUUUUGGCAUAAAAGAAAAUCGAUAAUUUUGACCCAUACAAUGUUUUUUGGUCAUUGCUAAAAAUAUACCCCAAGCGCUUAAGACUGGUUUUGUGUCCAGGGUCAAAAUAAACAUUUAAAAUCAUUGGAAGCUAGAACAUGGGACACGUGAUCAAUGUCAACUUUGGAUUAGAGACCUAGAAAAUUUUGUCUUCAUUAACAUCAUAUUUUUCCUUUUUCUGAAAUAUCUCAAAAUCAAAAAGUGUUCUAUUUACCUGUAAAUUUAAACAAAUCCCAGAUUUUCAAUGUAAUCCCAGACCUCUGGACCCAGCUGUAUAUAAAUAAAUUCAAUGAUUAAACCCUUUCUGAAGUAUUUAUCUUGUACAACAGCACAUUAAAAUUUCUGAAAAAACAAUUCAAAUUCAGCACUUGCACGGACCUUAACAGAGAUCUCUCCUGCAAUUCUCCAUACAAAAUCACAAGCAUCGUCAGUCACAUGACCUGAUAUACGCUGAUCAAAACAUUGCCAGCAAGUAAUUUUACGAAACAACAGAGAAGCACCGUGAGCAGAAGACCAGAGAGAAUUUCUCCCAUCAUUCUCAACCAGAUGCAAAUUUCAUGACCCAAAAUGCUACAGGUCCAUCAGAGAGACAAAGAGAACAUUAAUUAGCA